rnacentral:rRNA from 1 species
CCUACGGGUGGCAGCAGUGAGGAAUAUUGGUCAAUGGACGGAAGUCUGAACCAGCCAUGCCGCGUGCAGGAAGACGGCUCUAUGAGUUGUAAACUGCUUUUGUACAAGGGUAAACUUGGAUACGUGUAUGCAGCUGAAAGUACUGUACGAAUAAGGAGCGGCGAACGCCGUGCCAGCAGCCGCGGUAAUACGGAGGAUGCAAGCGUUAUCCGGAUUUAUUGGGUUUAAAGGGUGCGUAGGCGGUUUGAUAAGUUAGAGGUGAAAUGUCGGGGCUUUACUCGGGAAUUGCCUCUCAUACUGUUCAUCUAGAGCGUAGUUGCGGUAGGCGGAAUGUAUGGUGUAGCGGUGAAAUGCUU